rnacentral:siRNA from 1 species
AAGAAGACCUAUAUUUCAAGCUA